GUUUCUACAUCAAGUUGGAUGCAGAGCGCGAAAGCUCCGGAUCAAUCGUCUAUUUUACCAGAUAAAAAUGCAUAACAAAGAUUGCACUGCCGCAACAAGCUGCUGAACACAAGGCGCCUUUUUCAUUAGAUGUAGCAUGUCAAAAAUUCGAUAAUUCAAAUUAUCAAUGUCACCGAUACAACUUCGAUCAACAUAUUUUCGUGACUGACUACCAUCAAUAAUUCUGAUUGUGAGAGGAAGAAGAAGGAGCCGGCUUAAGAAGAGUACUAGACAACAACUAUGAUUGUGAGAGGAAAGAGAAUAGGUUGAUCAGGAAGAGUAUUGGA